AUCCCUAAUAGUUUGCAUGUUCUUCCCGUGCUCGCGUGGGAGAGCAUCGGUGGACAUUUAUCUAGAAAAUGCUGGAGAACAGCCGGUAGGGCUCUGUCAGUACUGUCUAUGGGUGCGUUCCAAAUCACAUACUUGUACACUAUUCUAUGCCAUUUUGUAGUGUAAAUGGUGUAAGUAGUGUGUUCACACUGAAAUAUUCUUUUUUUUUUCGGCUUUUUUGCCUUUAUUAGAUAGGACAGUAAUGAGACAGGAAACGAAGUGGGAGAGAGAGAAGGGUGUAGGGUUGGGAAUUGUCUUUGAGCUGGGUUUCGAACUCGGGACGCCCUAUUGUGCUACUGCAGCAUAUGUCAGCGCAUUGACCACAAGGCUAUUGCACUGACAAUAUUCUUUUAUUUUAAAAAGAUUAAGUUCACUUUAAAUUCACGGAUGAUGCUCUUAUUUAACCGUUUAAAAGAAGUGUGGACUGUGCACUUGGGGCUGUCUUUGUUUGUUUGCAGAUUGGAGUGGAGCAGAAGAAGGAGACUCACAAGUGGAAUGGUGGAGAUAUACUGCAAGACCUGGAGCUCAGGAAGCAGGUUGGCAUGGAGCAUGUGGAGGAACAGGGAAACGCACCUUAGUAAUGACAAGUGCAUCGUAAUAAAUUAGAUACAGACUUACACUUUUUUAGGUUGAAUCAAAUUAACUUUAUAAAACAUUUAAAAUCAUAUACUUUCAUUUGUACAUACUAGAUGAUUGUCUGGAAUCUCUUUAAGCCAGAUAAAUGUCUUGUUUGCGGCAGGUGUUUCUUUUUCCUGUAAUGGACACACAACAGACAGAAGAAGGAGACUCACAAGAGCAUCUGUGGAAAUUUGUCUGAAAACCGCUGGUUAACAGUUUAUGCAUUUCUGGAGUUCAGCAAGCAUGUAGAGCUCUGUUAGUUGUGUCUUUAUCUUUUCCAGGCUGGAGUGCAGCAUGUGGAGACAAAUAGGAAUCACACACCUCAGCAAUGGACACUGAUGGUCAGGAAUAUCCUUUAAAGAUUAGACUGGGGCCUGUGGAGAAAUGGGACUCGCACCUCAGCAUGACUGGAAACUGAUGGUCUGGGCUGCGUUUCCCAAACAACGAAGUAACUCACGGCUAAACUAUAAAAGUCUGAUGCAUCGUUUGAGAAAAGAAUGAUGUAGUGACGAGUGUUUUCCAAAACCUGUAGUUUCUCUGUCGCAGAUCCAUCGCUUAAACCAGGUUAGUUAUAAUUAUGAUAAAAUGCCCGUAAUGAUGCUCUAAACUACUUUAGAGAAAAGAAACUUAAUUUAUUUGUGCAAAUUAUACACGCACACGCAUUUACAAUAGAAUUCAAUAUUAGAUUUGGUAAAAAUAUGCACUCGCUUUCUAUAAUAACUGAAAUAUAUGUAAAUGACACAAACAG